AUUGAACGCUGGCGGCAUGCCUAACACAUGCAAGUCGAACGGCAGCACAGCAGUAGCAAUACUGUGGGUGGCGAGUGGCGGACGGGGUGAGGAAUACGUCGGAAUCUGCCCAGUCGUGGGGGAUAACUAGCCGAAAGGUUAGCUAAUACCGCAUACGACCGAGAGGUGAAAGCGGGGGACCGCAAGGCCUCGCGCGAUUGGAUGAGCCGACGUCGGAUUAGCUAGUUGGCGGGGUAAAGGCCCACCAAGGCGACGAUCCGUAGCUGGUCUGAGAGGAUGAUCAGCCACACUGGAACUGAGACACGGUCCAGACUCCUACGGGAGGCAGCAGUGGGGAAUAUUGGACAAUGGGCGCAAGCCUGAUCCAGCAAUGCCGCGUGUGUGAAG
rnacentral:rRNA from 1 species